rnacentral:rRNA from 1 species
CGUAGCGAAAGUUGCGCUAAUACCGCAUAUUCUGUGAGCAGGAAAGCAGGGGACCGCAAGGCCUUGCGCUCUUUGAGCGGCCGAUGUCAGAUUAGCUAGUUGGUGAGGUAACGGCUUACCAAGGCGACGAUCUGUAGCGGGUCUGAGAGGAUGAUCCGCCACACUGGAACUGAGACACGGUCCAGACUCCUACGGGAGGCAGCAGUGGGGAAUUUUGGACAAUGGGCGCAAGCCUGAUCCAGCCAUGCCGCGUGAGUGAAGAAGGCCUUCGGGUUGUAAAGCUCUUUCGGCCGGGAAGAAAUCGCAUGGGUUAAUACCCUGUGUGGAUGACGGUACCGGAAUAAGAAGCACCGGCUAACUACGUG